rnacentral:lncRNA from 1 species
UAGAAGAGUCAGCAACAAGCUAUAACACAGCAAACAACAACAACAACAACAGAAAUCGAGCAGUAGCACCAAACAGCUCAGACUUAAAUCUGCAGUUAAACCCCAACAGCAAUAGAGCAGUGAAAAUAACCAACACCAGUGCGAAAUGAUCAAAGUAUAAACCCAACAGACCCAACAGAAUCAAAGCAACCAAACACUUAGAUCCACACAAUAACAAAACCAGCUCCCUUACAAGCAAUGCAAUCAAACAGAUGAUCCUAAGGUUUGGAAAUG